CAGUAGCGCGGUAAUGCGUAGGUGGCAAGCGUUGUCCGGAAUUAUUGGGCGUAAAGGGCUCGCAGGCGGUUUCUUAAGUCUGAUGUGAAAGCCCCCGGCUCAACCGGGGAGGGUCAUUGGAAACUGGGAAACUUGAGUGCAGAAGAGGAGAGUGGAAUUCCACGUGUAGCGGUGAAAUGCGUAGAGAUGUGGAGGAACACCAGUGGCGAAGGCGACUCUCUGGUCUGUAACUGACGCUGAGGAGCGAAAGCGUGGGGAGCAAACAGGAUUAGAUACCCGGGUAGUCCCUGUCUCUUAUACA
rnacentral:rRNA from 1 species